rnacentral:rRNA from 1 species
GAUGAACGCUGGCGGCGUGCCUAAUACAUGCAAGUCGAGCGAACAGAUGAGGAGCUUGCUCCUCUGACGUUAGCGGCGGACGGGUGAGUAACAUUUGGAUAACCUACCUAUAAGACUGGGAUAACUUCGGGAAACCGGAGCUAAUACCGGAUAAUAUAUUUAACCGCAUGGUUCAAUAGUGAAAGACGGUUUUGCUGUCACUUCUAGAUGGAUCCGCGCCGCAUUAGCUAGUUGGUAAGGUAACGGCUUACCAAGGCAACGAUGCGUAGCCGACCUGAGAGGGUGAUCGGCCACACUGGAACUGAGACACGGUCCAGACUCCUACGGGAGGCAGCAGUAGGGAAUCUUCCGCAAUGGGCGAAAGCCUGACGGAGCAACGCCGCGUGAGUGAUGAAGGUCUUCGGAUCGUAAAACUCUGUUAUUAGGGAAGAACAAAUGUGUAAGUAACUAUGCACGUAUUGACGGUACCUAAUCAGAAAGCCACGGCUAACUACGUG